CAGACACACUAAACUAUUAAUCGUUAUAUCUCCCAUUAUAUUCCAAGGAUCUUUUAUAUUUUAAGAAAAGUUUAACAAAUUAUCAGAAGUGGAAUAUUACAAGAGUAAACAAACGUGUGUUUGAAACGGAUGCAAAUUUUGCGAAACUCAUAUUACAUAUAGUGUGCAAGAAAAUGAUUAGAAUGGUAAAAUCCUUUCGUCGGUAAUUAGUACACCGUAUUGUUAAUAGUAUGGUGUAUUGACAUUCGGAUAAUCGUAAUAAGCGUAUAGAUAUGGUUAAAUAAUUAUAAAUAAGAGAAGUGAACGAUGUGGAAGAAACUUUUCAACGGCAGGAACACGCCAAAGGUUAAACAAAGUAAGCAAAUAGAAUUUACUAUGUCUACAAUAACUAACAAAUGUUAAUGACAUUAGAGGACACCAAUCAAUAGGCAGUGUGUGAAAAAGUAGCGACAAAGCUAUAGAUAUACCGAACAAAGAGAAAAACAACACUUCAAAAAGCAAAAAAUUAUGGAAAGUACGGUAAGUGCUGGAAAUUAUAGAUAAUACAAAAUUAUCGACAUUCCACUGAAAUAAAGCAAAUCACGAUGUUGAGUGUUACAUUAAAAAAUCCAUAAAUAUGUGAUUCUAAAUGGGUAGGAAGAUUUGACUUUGAACCAUUAUGCAUUGACUAGAUGAAGAAGAGUGGAUAAAAAGUGAUGUGGUAAUAUUCUACCGAGCUAAUGAUUAAUUGCAUAAAGAUACAUUAAAAAUAUAAGACACGUGUUAUAGCACUACUUCGAGAAGUUACUAAUAUUACAGCAAGCAUAUCAAGAGAAAUUAGUUGAAUGGAUAAUUGAGGAAAUCAGAAGCAUACGAUUUCGAGAAUAUUUAGAAUUUGUUUCAAGUGAAAUAUCAAACCAGCAUUUUGAUCAUGGAUCAUCCUUAGAGUGAACACCAGUGACUCGACCAAAUAGAUUAAAAAGCAGAAAAUCUGUGCAGAGACCGUAUAAUGAUGAUUAAUCUCAAACUGUUUAGUAACAAAUGAAGAUAAGCGUAUGUCACAAAUCGUAUUGUACUGAAAGAUGUUAACGCCAAACUUUUACAAAUAAAAUCAACCGAGAUGAACAAAACAUUCGCCGAGAUAACGAAUUUGACAUUCGUACAAUACGAACAAUAUACUAUCAAAAACGAAAGGAGCAAAAAAUAAUACAACUGAUGAAAAUCAGCAUUAUGGAAAAAAGUAAAUCUCCAUUAUCAUGAUCAUUUUGUCAAAGUUGCCAAGAAAGAAAUUCAUGCGGGUGACUUACGAAUAGAUUACCGAGUGAUUGAUAAUAUUAUACAUCGUUCGCUUUGUUAGAUCAUUUGUUAUGUUAAUCUAUCGUCAAUCGAACUUGUGAUAAGUGCAUAUCCCUAUCGUCUCCAUUUAAAUUACAAGUAUUUGCAUAUGAAAUAUAACAAAACACGGUGUAAUAUCUUAAACUGUCCCUUUAUUCUCGAUAUUGCCGUAGCGGUCAUUACAUGUUCUAUUUUCUUAUAUUUAUAUAACUGAUCAAAUUCAAUGUCUAAAGGCUUAUUGAUUCCAACGUGAUAUAAAUUUCUGUAGAAUUCAUAAGUUAUUUCAGGACGUAAAUCGUCAUAAACGCAGUUUCUAACGAAAACUUUAUUUAUAGCUAUACUCUAGCAUUAUAUAAUAGAUUGUAAAAUUUUCUUUUAGUUCGUCUUGAUUUCUUUUCACAAGUAUUGGUCUGAUAUUCAGAAUUUUUUCACUACUUCGUAGCAUAGUAGCGAACCAUAUCGGCACUAAUAGUUGUUUUUAACACAGACAGACAAAUCAAUGUUGUUUCAAUUCAAAGUAAUUCUGAAUGGGAUUAUCAUUGAUCCGUCAUUAAUGAAACUUUCAUUGUUCUUCUGAUAAUCUAUAUCAUAGCUGAAUUCAUCAACCGAAUAUGUACUCAGGGAUUCAUAUUCCUUUUUAUCUAAUCAGCUCAAGCGAAUUACAGACAGAUUUAAUCGUAAUAUGAAAAUCGAUAUAGCUGACAUGAAAAUGUUUCGACCUUCAAAUAUUUGUCAAUGUCUCCAAUUCGAUGAUAGUUUGAUUCUCUUUAGAUGUUCUCCUAUUAAUCUAUGAAAUUCAGUCUUGAGUAUAUUUCAAUACCCAUUCAGGAGUUGUAAAUUUUCAAUAUAUAAUACAUAAUUUUUCAGAAUUGGAUAAAUGUCCCUACGUAUAUUGAAAUAUUUUCUCCUGUGCUUUGUCUCAAUAAUAUUUGAUGUUUUUCUCUUCUAAUUCGUUUAAAGGUAAUGAUAGUAAAACAUUUUAUGAAUCAUUGAAAAUAGUUACUUAGAUCAAUGACACUACGAAUUGAUUUCGUACCCCCAAAUAUAGCUAAACUCUUAAAUAAUUAAACUUUCAUUCUCACAGAGUCACCUGCACUGAUUUCAAAUCAUAUCUUCGUUUUCAACUAAUCCUGCAGGAUAUGCCUCUUAAUCUUCAUUAUAAUAUCGUAUUUUGAUGUCGUCAGGAUUUUUUAAUUUGCCAGAAUGAAUUUUGCUAAGAGCUAGUAUUUUGAAAUCAAAUUUUAUAAUGCAAUUACUGGAUUAUUAUAUGCUAAAAUAUUUCCCCUGCAGCAAAACGGAUAGUUUAUGUUUAAAAAAAACAUUUUUGUACUUUCAUUUUUCGAAGAAUAGAUCAAGCAUUCGCUUUACUCCGAAUUAUAGGUGACUAUUAAUUGAAAAACCUGGAUAAUUUCCGUUUUAUAACGGUGUAUACGUAAUGAAUUAUUGUUUUAUUAAGAAAUAAUUUAACAAGAUAUGAAAGAUUUGUUUAUUAUUACUUACGCUAUUUCUCGACUUUAUCAAGAAAUAAUUUCACACGAUGUGAAAGAUUCGUUAAUUAUUACUUACGCUAUUCUCGACUUUAUUAAGAAAUAAUUUAACACUAUGUGAAAGAUUCGUUAAUUCUUACUUCCUCUAUUUCUCGACUUUAUUAAGAAAUAAUUUAACACGAUAUGAAAGAUUUGUUUAUUAUUACUUACGCUAUUUCUCGACUUUAUUAAGAAAUUAUUUAACACGAUGUGAAAGAUUCGUUUAUUAUUACUUACGCUAUUCUCGAUUUUAUUAAGAGAUAACUUAACACGUUGAGAAGGAUUUGUUUAUUAUUACUCCCGCUAUUUUUCGACUUUAUUAAGAAAUAAUUUAACACGAUAUGAAAGAUUUGUUAAUUCUUACUUCCUCUAUUUUUCGACUUUAUUAAGAAAUAAUUUAACACGAUAUGAAAGAUUUGUUUAUUAUUACUUACGCUAUUUCUCGACUUUAUUAAGAGAUAACUUAACACGUUGAGAAGGAUUUGUUUAUUAUUACUCCCGCUAUUUCUCGACUUUAUUAAGAAAUAAUUUAACACAAUAUGAAAGAUUCGUUUAUUAUUACUUACGCUAUUCUCGACUUUAUUAAGAGAUAACAUAACACGUUGAGAAGGAUUUGUUUAUUAUUACUCCCGCUAUUUUUCGACUUUAUUAAGAAAUAAUUUAACACGAUAUGGAAGAUUCGUUUAUUAUUACUUCCGCUAUUUCUGGACUUUAUUAAGAAAUAAUUUAACACUAUGUGAAAGAUUCGUUAAUUCUUACUUCCUCUAUUUCUCGAUCAUUAAGAAAUAAUUUAACACGUUGUGAAAGAUUUGUUUAUUAUUACUUACGCUAUUUCUCGACUUUAUUAAGAAAUUAUUUAACACGAUGUGAAAGAUUCGUUUAUUAUUACUUAUGCUAUUCUCGACUUUAUUAAGAGAUAACUUAACACGUUGAGAAGGAUUUGUUUAUUAUUACUCCCCCUAUUUCUCCACUUUAUUAAGAAAUAAUUUAACACGAUAUGAAAGAUUUGUUUAUUAUUACUUACGCUAUUUCUCGACUUUAUUAAGAAAUUAUUUAACACGAUGUGAAAGAUUCGUUUAUUAUUAUUACUUACGCUACUUCUUGAUUUUAUUAAGAAAUAAUUUAACACGAUGUGAAAGAUUCGUUUAUUAUUACUUACGCUAUUCUCGACUUUAUUAAGAGAUAACUUAACACGUUGAGAAGGAUUUGUUUAUUAUUACUCCCCCUAUUUCUCCACUUUAUUAAGAAAUAAUUUAACACAAUAUGAAAGAUUUGUUUAUUAUUACUUACGCUAUUUCUCGACUUUACUAAGAAAUAAUUUAACACGUUGUGAAAGAUUCGUUAAUUCUUACUUCCUCUAUUUCUCGAUCAUUAAGAAAUAAUUUAACACGUUGUGAAAGAUUUGUUUAUUAUUACUUACGCUAUUUCUCGACUUUAUUAAGAAAUUAUUUAACACGAUGUGAAAGAUUCGUUUAUUAUUACUUACGCUAUUCUCGACUUUAUUAAGAGAUAACUUAACACGUUGAGAAGGAUUUGUUUAUUAUUACUCCCGCUAUUUUUCGACUUUAUUAAGAAAUAAUUUAACACGAUAUGGAAGAUUCGUUUAUUAUUACUUCCGCUAUUUCUGGACUUUAUUAAGAAAUAAUUUAACACUAUGUGAAAGAUUCGUUAAUUCUUACUUCCACUAUUUCUCGAUCAUUAAGAAAUAAUUUAACACGUUGUGAAAGAUUUGUUUAUUAUUACUUACGCUAUUUCUCGACUUUAUUAAGAAAUUAUUUAACACGAUGUGAAAGAUUCGUUUAUUAUUACUUAUGCUAUUCUCGACUUUAUUAAGAGAUAACUUAACACGUUGAGAAGGAUUUGUUUAUUAUUACUCCCGCUAUUUUUCGACUUUAUUAAGAAAUAAUUUAGCACGAUGUGAAAGAUUCGUUUAUUAUUACUUACGCUAUUCUCGACUUUAUUAAGAGAUAACUUAACACGUUGAGAAGGAUUUGUUUAUUAUUACUCCCCCUAUUUCUCCACUUUAUUAAGAAAUAAUUUAACACGAUAUGAAAGAUUUGUUUAUUAUUACUUACGCUAUUUCUCGACUUUAUUAAGAAAUUAUUUAACACGAUGUGAAAGAUUCGUUUAUUAUUAUUACUUACGCUACUUCUUGAUUUUAUUAAGAAAUAAUAUAACACGAUGUGAAAGAUUCGUUUAUUAUUACUUCCGCUAUUUCUGGACUUUAUUAAGAAAUUAUUUAACACUAUGUGAAAGAUUCGUUAAUUCUUACUUCCUCUAUUUCUCGACUUUAUUAAGAAAUAAUUUAACACGAUGUGAAAGAUUUCUUAAUUCUUACUUCCUCUAUUUCUCGACUUUAUUAAGAAAUAAUUUAACACGAUGUGAAAGAUUUGUUUAUUAUUAUUACUUACGCUACUUUUUGAUUUUAUUAAGAAAUAAUUUAACACGAUGUGAAAGAUUCGUUUAUUAUUACUUACGCUAUUCUCGACUUUAUUAAGAGAUAACUUAACAGGAUGUGAAAGAUUCGUUAAUUCUUACUUCCUCUAUUUCUCGACUUUAUUAAGAAAUUAUUUAACACGAUGUGAAAGAUUCGUUUAUUAUUAUUACUUACGCUACUUCUUGAUUUUAUUAAGAAAUAAUAUAACACGAUGUGAAAGAUUCGUUUAUUAUUACUUCCGCUAUUUCUGGACUUUAUUAAGAAAUAAUUUAACACUAUGUGAAAGAUUCGUUAAUUCUUACUUCCUGUAUUUCUCGACUUUAUUAAGAAAUAAUUUAACACGAUGUGAAAGAUUUUUUUAUUAUUAUUACUUACGCUACUUUUUGAUUUUAUUAAGAAAUAAUUUAACACGAUGUGAAAGAUUCGUUUAUUAUUACUUACGCUAUUCUCGACUUUAUUAAGAGAUAACUUAACACGAUGUGAAAGAUUCGUUAAUUCUUACUUCCUCUAUUUCUCGACUUUAUUAAGAAAUAAUUUAACACGAUGUGAAAGAUUCGUUUAUUAUUACUUCCGCUAUUUCUGGACUUUAUUAAGAAAUAAUUUAACACGAUGUGAAAGAUUCGUUUAUUAUUAUUACUUACGCUACUUCUUGAUUUUAUUAAGAAAUAAUUUAACACGAUGUGAAAGAUUCGUUUAUUAUUACUUACGCUAUUCUUGACUUUAUUAAGAGAUAACUUAACACGUUGUGAAGGAUUUGUUUAUUAUUACUCCCGCUAUUUCUCGACUUUAUUAAGAAAUAAUUUAACACGAUGUGAAAGAUUUGUUUAUUAUUAUUACUUACGCUACUUUUUGAUUUUAUUAAGAAAUAA